rnacentral:rRNA from 1 species
AACGAACGCUGGCGGCGUGCCUAAUACAUGCAAGUCGAACGGUCUUUUCUAUGGAAGCUUGCUUCCACUGAGAAGAUAGUGGCGCACGGGUGCGUAACACGUGGGUAAUCAACCCUUCAGCUUGGGAUAACGACUUGAAAGGGUCGCUAAUACCGGAUACGGCGCGGGAGGCUUCGGCUUCUCACGAGAAAGCCUCGCAAGGGGCACUGAAGGACGAGCCUGCGGCCCAUCAGCUAGUUGGUGAGGUAAGAGCUCACCAAGGCGAAGACGGGUAGCUGGUCUGAGAGGAUGAUCAGCCACACUGGAACUGAGACACGGUCCAGACUCCUACGGGAGGCAGCAGUGGGGAAUAUUGCGCAAUGGGCGAAAGCCUGACGCAGCCACGCCGCGUGAGCGAUGAAGGCCUUGGUCGGUAAGACUCUGUGGGGAGAGACGAAGAAAGACCCGUG